GGCUGGUCCGAAGGUAGUGAGUUAUCUCAAUUGAUUGUUCACAGUCGGUUAUAGAUUGAACUCCUCGUUCUACUCUUUCUCCCCUUCUCACUACUGCACUUGCCUAGGAAAA
rnacentral:Y_RNA from 1 species